rnacentral:tRNA from 1 species
AUUUAUAUAGUUUAAAUAAAACAAUACAUUUUCAUUGUAUAAAUAAUAUAUUAUAUUUAUAAAUA